ACGAGACAGUUCUCUCUUCAACUCAUAUAUUUUGGACCUAUUGGCAGUCCCAUACCUAGUUUAGAGUUGGGUCCAAAUACCCUGUGCAGUAUCAGUAUACUAUACAGACUCAGCAAUAGAAGGGGAAAGGGAGGCAAUCAACCAGGAGAUCACCAUAUUAUUGCACCUAUCCCAUAACCUCUGUUGAGGAACAUUGGUAGUGGGACGGGCAUAGGUGCCAUCAACAAAGCUGAUUUUAUUUUUAGCCGACAAGGCAACAAGAAUUUUUCGUCUCCAACCUCCAUAACCAGUACCCGAAAAUGGGAUGGGGACAAGAGGUACCCCAGGGAGAUCAGAUGAAUACAGAAAAAGUGGACUAGAGGAAUCCACAGUAUUAGAACCACCAGUACUUGUGCUAGAAGCCAUAAUAAAACCGGCUUAGACAAAAAACUUGUCAACAAACAGCAGAACAAGUGUACAAACUCAAUAACCAACAGAUGAACAACAAUCAGGUCAAGAUAUCAAAAAUACCACCAGAUAUUCACAAUUACAAAGUCAGAUAAGCACACAUAAAUCGAGAAG
rnacentral:lncRNA from 1 species